GCUGGGAAGAGGUUGAACCUUCGCCUCAAACGAUGUUGCGCAGACGCAGUGGGCCAUUCUAGUGCCUUCUAGAAAAGGGUGCAGGUUCGCAGCCCUGUCAACCAGCUCCGAGCCGGCAGCGAAACCUGAAGUGGACCCUGUGGAAAAUGAAGCUGUCGCCCCAGAAUUCACCAACCGGAACCCCCGGAACCUGGAGCUUUUAUCUGUAGCCAGGAAAGAGCGGGGCUGGCGGACGGUGUUUCCCUCCCGUGAGUUCUGGCACAGGUUGCGAGUUAUAAGGACUCAGCAUCAUGUAGAAGCACUUGUGGAGCAUCAGAAUGGCAAGGUUGUGGUUUCGGCCUCCACUCGUGAGUGGGCUAUUAAAAAGCACCUUUAUAGUACCAGAAAUGUGGUGGCUUGUGAGAGUAUAGGACGAGUGCUGGCACAGAGAUGCUUAGAGGCGGGAAUCAACUUCAUGGUCUACCAACCAACCCCGUGGGAGGCAGCCUCAGACUCGAUGAAACGACUACAAAGUGCCAUGACAGAAGGUGGUGUGGUUCUACGGGAACCUCAGAGAAUCUAUGAAUAAAUGGAAGCAUUAAUUGUUUUGAACAUGUAAAUAUAAAUCUGUCAGCCACUACAGCCAUCAAAAGAGAGCAUCUGGAAGAACAGCCAGCUUGGAAGUUUUACAGCAAUAAUGUUGCAGUGGAAUAUUAUUUGUAGUUAAGGUCAUCCUCCUCCCCUUUCUGUUUUUUUAAAUCAAGAACUACGUUCUGCCC
rnacentral:sRNA from 1 species